rnacentral:rRNA from 1 species
GUCGUAACAAGGUAGCCGUACCGGAAGGUGCGGCUGGAUCACCUCCUUUCUAAGGAGCAUCUGGCGUCUCUCUUCGGAGAGU